GUCUUUCCAGAUGUCAGUUUGUUUCCGGUCCAUCCUUCUUGUUUUGGUUUUAGCCGGAUGAUGAUUUAGGUGCAUUUCCGCCUACUAGUGUCUUGUUUAUUUAAUUGAUUUAAAUUUAAUUUAGUUUUGAAUUAUAUACGUUGGGGAAAGAUGUAUGAAUGAAACGCACUUUUUAAUAAACAACUUCGACAUGAAAAGUGCAUUUUAAAAAAGGAACCUGAUUUAAAAUCUUUAACUGAUGGUCAUAAUUUCCCUUUCCAGUAUGCUGACACACCCACAUAAAUAUUUAGUUGACACAUUUUUUUUUGUUUUGUUUUUAAAUACAGCAAAAGUCAAAAUUAACUGCAAACAUUUUAUUCAGUACAUUUUUCACUCCAAAACAUAUCAAAACCAGAUACAUUUGAGAAGAAAAUCAAACACUGUGCACAUUAAAUUUAUGACUGACCACCGAAGAAAUGACUUUAUGGAUCAGCUUAAAAAAAAAAA